rnacentral:rRNA from 1 species
UUUCCAAUUAAUGAAACUGAUCUUCUCGUGAAGAUAUAAAUAUAAGACGAGAAGACCCCAUGGAGCUUUAAACUUAUCACCAUUUACUUCUUAUUACACCACUGUAUAUAGUAAAAUUUACUUGAUAGUUUUCGGCUGGGGUGACCCUGGAGAAAAACAAAUCCUCCAGGAUGAACGGAAUAAUAAUCCUAAUCAAAGAGCUACAGCUCUAUGAAUCAAAAUAUUGACAGAUUUGAUCCAAUUACUUGAUCAACGAACCAAGUUACCCUGGGGAUAACAGCGCAAUCCAUUUCAAGAGCCCCUAUCGACAAAUGGGUUUACGACCUCGAUGUUGGAU